rnacentral:rRNA from 1 species
GACGAACCGUCCGAACGUUAUUCGGAAUCACUGGGCUUAAAGGGUGCGUAGGCGGGCAGGUAAGUCCGUGGUGAAAUCUCCAAGCUUAACUUGGAAACUGCCGUGGAUACUAUUUGUCUUGAAUAUAGUGGAGGUGAGCGGAAUAUGUCAUGUAGCGGUGAAAUGCUUAGAUAUGACAUAGAACGCCCAUUGCGAAGGCAGCUCGCUACACUAUUAUUGACGCUGAGGCACGAAAGCGUGGGGAUCAAACAGG